AAGUCGUAACAAGGUCUCCGUAGGUGAACCUGCGGAAGGAUCAUUAAUAAUAGCGGGUCCUCUCGAACCAUAGGAUGUCUGAACCCUUGAAUACUUAACUUUGUUGCUUUGGUGGGCCGCCCUUCGGGCGUCGGCCAUGGCUGACUGUGCCUGCCAGAGGACCACAACUCUUUGUUUUGUGAUGUCUGAGUACUAUAAAAUAUUUAAAA
rnacentral:misc_RNA from 1 species